UGUGUUUUAAUAGAGUUGUAAUUUUUGUUUUUUUCUUGCAUUCUUUUGUUAGGUUGAUUUCGAGAUACCAUUUAAAACAGCAAAUCUAUGAAGUGCAUUAUUCUCUAGCCUGGUAUUGUUGAAAUGCUACUGACUUUUGUAAGGUCAUUUUGUGUCCACCAGCCUUGCUGACUUUCUCAUUUAUUUUAAUGUUGCCUGAAAGACAACCAAAAGCAGCUCGGGAAGGAGAACCUAGAUGUGAAAAGUAAACGGCAAGAACACAGCAUAUCAGAG